AUAUACGGCCACAGAAGGUAUCAAACACCGCAUCCAGUCCGCUCUGCGAAGUCUUUAAGUUGCCUAUCGCCCGGUUAGUACCAAGGUGGGAGACCAAUUGGGGUUCCCGGGUGGUUUUUGGA
rfam:Cryptococcus bestiolae CBS 10118 unplaced genomic scaffold supercont1.1, whole genome shotgun sequence.